UACGUAGGCAGCGAGCGUUGUUCGGAGUUACUGGGCGUAAAGAGUGCGUAGGCGGUGUUCCAAGUCUGUUGUGAAAUCUCCCGGCUUAACUGGGAGGGUGCGGCGGAAACUGGGACGCUGGAGUACGGGAGAGGUAAGCGGAAUUCCUGGUGUAGCGGUGAAAUGCGUAGAUAUCUGGAGGAAUACCGGUGGCGAAGGCGGCAUCCUGGACCGACAUUGACGCUGAACGGCGAAAGCUAGGGGAGCAAACGGG
rnacentral:rRNA from 1 species